rnacentral:tRNA from 1 species
GGUUGUGGCUCAGUGGUAGAGCUCUUGCUUAGCACAUGUGAAGCCCUGAGUUCGAUUCUCAGCACUACCU